CAUCUACGGAGAGUUUGAUCCUGGCUCAGGACGAACGCUGGCGGCGUGCUUAACACAUGCAAGUCGAACGCUGAACCCGCUUCGGUGGGGGAUGAGUGGCGAACGGGUGAGUAACACGUGGGCAACCUGCCCCCGGCUCUGGGAUAACUCCAAGAAAUUGGGGCUAAUACCGGAUGUUCACUGCUGGCCGCAUGGUCGGUGGUGGAAAGGGUUUCCGGCUGGGGAUGGGCCC
rnacentral:rRNA from 1 species